GGGUGAGUAAUAUAUCGGAACGUGCCCAGUCGUGGGGGAUAACGUAGCGAAAGUUACGCUAAUACCGCAUACGAUCUACGGAUGAAAGCGGGGGAUCGCAAGACCUCGCGCGAUUGGAGCGGCCGAUAUCAGAUUAGGUAGUUGGUGGGGUAAAGGCUCACCAAGCCAACGAUCUGUAGCUGGUCUGAGAGGACGACCAGCCACACUGGAACUGAGACACGGUCCAGACUCCUACGGGAGGCAGCAGUGGGGAAUUUUGGACAAUGGACGAAAGUCUGAUCCAGCCAUUCCGCGUGCAGGAUGAAGGCCCUCGGGUUGUAAACUGCUUUUGUACGGAACGAAAAGGUUUCUCUUAAUACGAGGAGCUCAUGACGGUACCGUAAGAAUAAGCACCGGCUAACUACGUGCCAGCAGCCGCGGUAAUACG
rnacentral:rRNA from 1 species